CUACGGGAGGCAGCAGUAGGGAAUCUUCGGCAAUGGACGAAAGUCUGACCGAGCAACGCCGCGUGAGUGAAGAAGGUUUUCGGAUCGUAAAACUCUGUUGUUAGAGAAGAACAAGUGGGAGAGUAACUGUUCCCGCCUUGACGGUAUCUAACCAGAAAGCCACGGCUAACUACGUGCCAGCAGCCGCGGUAAUACGUAGGUGGCAAGCGUUGUCCGGAUUUAUUGGGCGUAAAGCGAGCGCAGGCGGUUUCUUAAGUCUGAUGUGAAAGCCCUCGGCUCAACCGAGGAAGGUCAUUGGAAACUGGGGAACUUGAAUGCAGAAGAGGAGAGUGGAAUUCCAUGUGUAGCGGUGAAAUGCGUAGAUAUAUGGAGGAACACCAGUGGCGAAGGCGACUCUCUGGUCUGUAAUUGACGCUGAGGCUCGAAAGCGUGGGGAGCAAACAGGAUUAGAAACCCUAGUAGUCC
rnacentral:rRNA from 1 species